GUUAAAAAGCUCGUAGUUGAAUUUCGGGGUUAGCAGGUUGGUCAUGCCUCUGGUAUGUACUGGUCUCACUGAUUCCUCCUUCCUUAUGAACCGUAAUGCCAUUAAUUUGGUGUUGCGGGGAAUUUGGACUGUUACUUUGAAAAAAUUAGAGUGUUUAAAGCAAGCUAACGCUUGAAUACAUUAGCAUGGAAUAAUGAAAUAGGACGUUCGAUCUUAUUUUGUUGGUUUCUAGGAUUGACGUAGUGAUUAAUAGGGAUAGUUGGGGGCAUUAGUAUUCAAUUGUCAGAGGUGAAAUUCUUGGAUUUAUUGAAGACUAACUACUGCGAAAGCAUUUGCCAAGGAUGUUUUCAUUAAUCAAGAACGAAAGUUAGGGGAUCGAAGACGAUCAGAUACCGUCGUAGUCUUAACCAUAAACUAUGCCGACUAGGGAUCGGAUGAUGUUAAUUUUUUAAUGACUCAUUCGGCGCCUUACGGG
rnacentral:rRNA from 1 species